GAUGAACGCUGGCGGUGCGUCUAAUACAUGCAAGUCGAGCGUGAAGCUAAAUUUAUUUAGUGGAAAGCGGCGAACGAGCGAGUAACACGUAAGUAUUUGCCCUGUACUCGGGGAUAACUCGGCGAAAGUCGAGCUAAUACCGGAUGGUCUCGAAAGAGUAAAGAUUUAUCGGUACAGGAGAAGCUUGCGGGCUAUCAGCUAGUUGGUGAGGUAAAGGCUUACCAAGGCUAUGACGGCUACCUGGUGUGAGAGCACGACCAGGCGCGAUGGGACUGAGACACGGCCCAUACUCCUACGGGAGGCAGCAGUAAAGAAUCUUCCGCAAUGGGCGAAAGCCUGACGGAGCGACACCGCGUGGUGGAUGACACCUUUAGGGGCGUAAACACCUUCUAUGAGGGAAGAAGAUUCUGACGGUACCUCAUGAAUAAGCACCGGCUAAUUACGUGCCAGCAGCCGCGGUAAUACGUAAGGUGCAAGCGUUAUCCGGAAUUAUUGGGCGUAAAGCGUCCGCAGGUGGUUUGUUAAGUUGGUUAUGAAAUACCGGUGCUCAACAUCGGUGCUGUAGCCAAAACUGACGAACUAGAGUAAUGGAGAGGUAUGUGGAAUUGUGCAAGUAGGGGUAAAAUCCGUAGAUAUGCACAGGAACACCAAAAGCGAAGGCAGCAUACUGGCCAUUUACUGACACUCAGGGACGAAAGCGUGGGUAGCGAAAGGGAUUAGAUACCCCUGUAGUCCACGCCGUAAACGAUGCAUGCUCGGUGUAGGGAUCCUCGACCUGAUCUCUGUGCCUAAGGUAACCCGAUAAGCAUGCCGCCUGUGUAGUACGAUCGCAAGAUUAAAACACAAAGGAAUAGACGGGGACCCACACAAGCGGUGGAUUGCGGGGUUUAAUUCGAUAAUAAGCGAGUAACCUUACCCAGACUUGACAUCCUAAUCGUAGAUUUUAGAGAUAAUUUCGUCAGUUCGGCUGGAUUAGUGACAGGCGUUGCAUGGUUGUCGUCAGCUCGUGCCUUGAGGUGUGCGGUUAAGUCCGUGAACGAGCGCAACCCUUAUUCUAUGUUGUAUUUUCAUGGGAGACUGCCCAUCAUAAAUGGGAGGAAGGUGAGGAUGACGUCAAAUCAGCAUGACCCUUAUGUCUGGGGCUACACCCACAAUACAAUGGUUGGUACAAACUGAAGCGAGGCGGCGACGCGGAGCUAAUCGGAUAAAACCAAUCUAAGUUCGGAUUGAAGUCUGAAACUCGACUUCAUGAAGUUGGAAUCGCUAGUAAAUGUAUAUCAGUCAUGGUACAUUGAAUAUGUUCCUGGGUCU
rnacentral:rRNA from 1 species